rnacentral:lncRNA from 1 species
AUUCCCCACUAAACCUGGUAGAUCAUAUGCAAAUCAUCCUUAUAACACACUGAGGAUUACUUCCCCUUAAGUGUGGUUAUCUUUCAAAAUUUAGAUACAGCAUAGUAUAAUGUAGUUCUGUACUAUGGAUCUAAUAUAGAAUCACACUAUAUUAGUAAAAGACUAAGGAUAAUAUAAAUAUAUUUAGUAAGAGACUAAAGAUAAUAUAAAAGGUCAGUGAAUCAUUCGUUUGACAAAAUCCUUUAGCUGCUUCAGGGUGACUAAUAUCAGGGCCCACAGUAAAAUAUGAAGUUUAGUAGUUUCAUAUUAGGGCAGAAAAUGUUCAGUAAUUACUAGUUAAGUACACAUUAAUUCAUUAAAAGCAUACCUAAAUGAAUGUCAUCAAAAAUGUCCACAAUUAGUGGUAAAAAAAAAUUUUCAAUAGAGAUAGUAAAGUACUAUUAUAUAAAAUGCGGAAUGUUUUUCUGCUAAUUCUAUCAAAAUUCAUCACUUUCAAGGAUCAGUCGACUGUCCUAUAGGACGUAGUAAAGCAAAAAACUCUCCAAGUAUUUAAUAGAGCACAUAAAUCCAGAUUUGAUGAGGAUAAUGACUUACUCUCUUUUAAAUGAAGGUUUUUGUCGUCUGGGUAAAUGACUUUAGUAUGGUCUUAAAACAGGCUUCACUGUCUAUUGUUCUUCAGUAACAGUAUACUUGUAUUUCAAGUGGGAAGUUUGUAGAUGAUACAAAGCAGAUUUUUUCCCAGAGUUCAGUUGUUUUCAAAUACCUUGAACUUCGGAGGAGUUUCUGUUACAUGUAAGAAGAUUUGGAAAUAAAUGACUGACCAGUUUUUAAUAUUUUUAAAAGUAUGGUAAUUAAGCAUUAAAUUUGCUAAUUGGUUAUUUUCAUAAUUGUUUUAAGUAUUAAUUUUUCACUUCCUUGAGCCUGUUAUACUGUAUUAUUACCAGAUUGAGGCUUGAAAAAUCCCUCAUUUGAUAGAUUAGAUGAAAUCCACCCUUUUAUUCAUUUAAAUUUUCAUUUCUUUAGAAUAUUUUCCUUCUUUAGAAUAUUGAAAAUUUCUACUUCUUUGUAUUUAUUGCCCAUCUUUAUUUCCUUGAUAACUAACUUCCACUUUCUAACUACUCCUAAUGCUGCCCUCACAAGAUUAAUUCAGCUAUUCUUAGUGAUUAGAGUUUGUAUAUAUCACUUACAUAAUUUUAUACCUAUUGAUAUUGUUUCCCUAUGAGAUUGGAAGUAAAAAUUUGUCUAAGAACAAUGCCUGCUGGCUCUCAGGAUACUUGACCUACUUAAAAGUCUGUAUGUUGGACUAAAUAUAACCUCUAUUAAUUAAAAAGAUGGCUUAUGUUUAUAUAUUGGAGUUGAAAUAGAAAUUUUAGUUCAGAUUAGAAUGAGAAAUUUUAUAAGUUCUAUUU